UACGUAGGGGGCGAGCGUUUGUCCGGAUUUAUUGGGCGUAAAGAGCUCGUAGGCGGUUUGGUAAGUUGGAUGUGAAAUCUCCAGGCUCAACUUGGAGGGGUCAUUCGAUACUGCCAUGACUAGAGUUCGGUAGGGGAGUCUGGAAUUCCUGGUGUGAGCGGUGAAAUGCGCAGAUAUCAGGAGGAACACCGGUGGCGAAGGCGGGCUCUGGCGGCGAAUGAACGUGACUGAGGAGCGAAAGCGUGGGGAGCGAACAGG
rnacentral:rRNA from 1 species